rfam:Schistosoma margrebowiei strain Zambia genome assembly, scaffold: SMRZ_contig0000020
UUCCAUCUGACGAGUCCAAAAUAGGACUAAACGCUCGUCCUAGAU